GCAGCUGUCUCCGUCGCCACUGCCGGAGGUUGCCGUCGGAGCUGCUGCUCCACUUUUGUCAUUCUCCUUUUCACAGUUAUUGCUGAACCACCAGAGCUUCUGGCCACUGUUGGAGCUGCUGCCGGAUAAGUUCGAAGUGGCUACUGCAUUGUUCUUUUAUUCCA